rnacentral:rRNA from 1 species
CAGGGAAUCUUCCGCAAUGGACGCAAGUCUGACGGAGCAACGCCGCGUGAGUGAAGAAGGAUUUCGGUUCGUAAAACUCUGUUGUUAGAGAAGAACAGCGCAUAGAGUAACUGUUAUGCGUGUGACGGUAUCUAACCAGAAAGCCACGGCUAACUACGUGCCAGCAGCCGCGGUAAUACGUAGGUCCCGAGCGUUGUCCGGAUUUAUUGGGCGUAAAGCGAGCGCAGGCGGUUAGAAAAGUCUGAAGUGAAAGGCAGUGGCUCAACCAUUGUAGGCUUUGGAAACUGUUUAACUUGAGUGCAGAAGGGGAGAGUGGAAUUCCAUGUGUAGCGGUGAAAUGCGUAGAUAUAUGGAGGAACACCGGUGGCGAAAGCGGCUCUCUGGUCUGUAACUGACGCUGAGGCUCGAAAGCGUGGGGAGCGAACAGG